CCUAAUCUCCCACCGAUGGCCUCCGCCAACGAGCAGCGAUCCCAGGCCGAGCUCCUCUUCAGUCUCUGCAAGCAGACCGAUCCUGACUUGCUCUCACUCAAACUCGCUCACCUCCUCCAAUUCUCUCCGGCGCAGGAGGCCCGGGCCAUGUCCGCCAUUCUCCUCCGCAGGCAGCUCACCCGCGACGACUCCUAUAUCUGACCCAGGCUCUCCCCGACGACGCAGUCCAGCCUCAAAUCGAUUCUCCUGUCCUGUAUUCAACGCGAGUCAAAUCGAUUUCCAAGAAGCUCUGCGACACCAUCUCCGAGCUCGCCUCCGAAAUCUUGCCGGACAACGGCUGGCCGGAGCUCCUCCCGUUCAUGUUCCGGAGAUAGGGAUAGGUUUCAGGACCUAUUUCCGGCG
rnacentral:lncRNA from 1 species